UACAUAGGUCCCAAGCGUUGUUCGGAUUCACUGGGCGUAAAGGGUGCGUAGGUGGCCAGGUAAGUUUGGUGUGAAAGCUCGGAGCUUAACUCCGAAAAGUCAUUGAAUACUAUCUGGCUGGAGGGUCGGAGGGGAGACUGGAAUUCUCGGUGUAGCAGUGAAAUGCGUAGAUAUCGAGAGGAACACCAGUGGCGAAGGCGAGUCUCUGGACGACUCCUGACACUGAGGCACGAAAGCUAGGGGAGCAAACGGG
rnacentral:rRNA from 1 species